UAAAAGAUGGCCGAGUAGGUGAUAGACUGUAAAUCUAUAGACGAGGACACCCUCUCUUUUAA
rnacentral:tRNA from 1 species